rnacentral:rRNA from 1 species
UCAGGACGAACGCUGGCGGCACGCCUAACACAUGCAAGUCGAACGGAGAUAUUUGGUUACUGAGAUAUCUUAGUGGCGGACGGGUGAGUAACACGUGAGCAACCUGCCUUUGAGAGAGGGAUAGCUUCUGGAAACGGAUGGUAAUACCUCAUAACGUAUACUUAAGGCAUCUUAGGUAUACCAAAGAUUUAUCACUCAAAGAUGGGCUCGCGUCUGAUUAGAUAGUUGGUGAGGUAACGGCUCACCAAGUCGACGAUCAGUAGCCGGACUGAGAGGUUGAACGGCCACAUUGGGACUGAGACACGGCCCAGACUCCUACGGGAGGCAGCAGUGGGGAAUAUUGCACAAUGGGGAAACCCUGAUGCAGCGAUGCCGCGUGGAGGAAGAAGGUUUUCGGAUUGUAAACUCCUGUCUUAAAGGACGAUAAUGACGGUACUUUAGGAGGAAGCUCCGGCUAACUACGUGCCAGCCGCAGC